rnacentral:rRNA from 1 species
UCGAGGGGCAGCAUGUCUUGUAGCAAUACAGGAUGAUGGCGACCGGCAAACGGGUGCGGAACACGUACACAACCUUCCUUCGAGCGGGGAAUAGCCCAGAGAAAUUUGGAUUAAUACCCCAUAGUAUAUUGAAAAGGCAUCUUUUUAAUAUUAAAGAUUUAUCACUUGAAGAUGGGUGUGCGGCUGAUUAGGUAGUUGGCGGGGUAACGGCCCACCAAGCCGACGAUCAGUAACUGGUGUGAGAGCACGACCAGUCACACGGGCACUGAGACACGGGCCCGACUCCUACGGGAGGCAGCAGUAAGGAAUAUUGGUCAAUGGACGCAAGUCUGAACCAGCCAUGCCGCGUGGAGGAUGAAGGUCCUCUGGAUUGUAAACUUCUUUUAUAUGGGACGAAAAAAGAUCUUUCCAGAUCAACUGACGGUACCAUAUGAAUAAGCACCGGCUAACUCCGUGCCAGCAGCCGCGGUAAUACGGAGGGUGCAAGCGUUAUCCGGAUUCACUGGGUUUAAAGGGUGCGUAGGUGGGUUGGUAAGUCAGUGGUGAAAUCCCCGAGCUUAACUUGGGAACUGCCAUUGAUACUAUCAGUCUUGAAUACCGUGGAGGUCAGCGGAAUAUGUCAUGUAGCGGUGAAAUGCUUAGAUAUGACAUAGAACACCAAUUGCGAAGGCAGCUGGCUACUCGGAUAUUGACACUGAGGCACGAAAGCGUGGGGAUCAAACAGGAUUAGAUACCCUGGUAGUCCACGCCCUAAACUAUGGAUACUCGACAUUUGCGAUACACAGCAAGUGUCUGAGCGAA